UUCUUUUUCUUCUUUUUUUCUUUUUUCUUUUUUUUCUUUUUCUUUUUCUUCCUUCUCC
rnacentral:ribozyme from 16 species